rnacentral:lncRNA from 1 species
GCAGGUCGUGCUCGCAGGGCACUCGUUGUAGCUGUCACAGACGGAAGACGGUGGGGCGGGAGACGGUGGAGUUGGGCCGGGGUUAGGGGGGUUCUCGCCCGUCUUCGUCGGGUAGGAAGGCUCGACAGCAAUACCACAUUUGCCACUGGAUGCCUUGAUGUUACGCUCCAUCCGGAUGUAACCAUCCUCUCCCCAGACGCUACCCCAGGAGUUCCUGACGAGCCAGUAGUCCUUGCCAUUCUCUGUACC